rnacentral:rRNA from 1 species
GAUGAACGCUAGCAGGAGGCCUAACACAUGCAAGCCGAGCGGUAUUGUUUCUUCGGAAAUGAGAGAGCGGCGUACGGGUGCGGAACACGUGUGCAGCCUGCCUUUAUCUGGGGGAUAGCCUUUCGAAAGGAAGAUUAAUACUCCAUAACAUAUUGAUUGGCAUCAAUUAAUAUUGAAAGCUCCGGCGGAUAGAGAUGGGCACGCGGAAGAUUAGCUAGUUGGUGAGGUAACGGCUCACCAAGGCGAUGAGCUUUAGGGGGCCUGAGAGGGUGGUCCCCCACCCUGGUACUGGGACACGGACCAGACGCCUACGGGAGGCAGCAGUGGGGAAUAUUGGUCAAUGGGUGCAAGCCUGAACCAGCCAUCCCGCGUGAAGGACGACUGCCCUAUGGGUUGUAAACUUCUUUUGUAUAGGGAUAAACCUACCAUCGUGAGGGUAGCUGAAGGUACUAUACGAAUAAGCACCGGCUAACUCCGUGCCAGCCGCCGCAGUAAUAC